rnacentral:rRNA from 1 species
UACGAAGGGGGCUAGCGUUGCUCGGAAUUACUGGGCGUAAAGCGCACGUAGGCGGCUUUCUAAGUCGGGGGUGAAAUCCUGGAGCUCAACUCCAGAACUGCCUUCGAUACUGGAGAGCUUGAGUCCGGGAGAGGUGAGUGGAACUGCGAGUGUAGAGGUGAAAUUCGUAGAUAUUCGCAAGAACACCAGUGGCGAAGGCGGCUCACUGGCCCGGUACUGACGCUGAGGUGCGAAAGCGUGGGGAGCGAGUCCGG